rnacentral:tRNA from 1 species
GCCGGAAUAGCUCAGUGGG